rnacentral:rRNA from 1 species
GACGAACGCUGGCGGCGUGCUUAACACAUGCAAGUCGAGCGGUAAGGCCCUUUCGGGGGUACACGAGCGGCGAACGGGUGAGUAACACGUGGGUGACCUGCCCUCAGCUCUGGGAUAAGCCUGGGAAACCGGGUCUAAUACUGGAUAUGACUCUAUGACGCAUGUUGUGGGGUGGAAAGCCUUGUGCGGCUGAGGAUGGGCCCGCGGCCUAUCAGCUUGUUGGUGGGGUGANGGCCUACCAAGGCGACGACGGGUAGCCGGCCUGAGAGGGCGACCGGCCACACUGGGACUGAGACACGGCCACG